AGUCUGGUGCCAGCAGCCGCGGUAAUUCCAGCUCCAAUAGUGUAUAUUAAAGUUGCUGCGGUUAAAAAGCUCGUAGUUGGAUUUCGGAAUGCGUCGGGCAAAGCUCGCCUUCUGGGUGUGGCUCGUGUGGCGCUUCCUAUCUUUGGAUAAUGGCCCUCUUGCUUCACGGCUUGGGGAGCACCGUUUCCAAUCGUUUACUGUGAAAAAAUUAGAGUGUUCAAAGCAGGCGUAACCUUGCCAUUGAAUAUUACAGCAUGGGAUAAUAGAAUAUGACAUUGGUCUUAUUUUGUUGGUUUCUAGGGCUGAUGUAAUGAUUAAUAGGGAUAGUUGGGGUCGCUCGUAUUGAGUUGUCAGAGGUGAAAUUCUAGGAUUUACUCAAGACGAACUAGUGCGAAAGCAUUCGACAAGGAUGUUUUCAUUAAUCAAGAACGAAAGUUGGGGGAUCGAAGAUGAUCAGAUACCGUCGUAGUCUCAACCAUAAACUAUGUGGACCAAGGAUCCGAGGACGUUACAUGGAUGACUCUCCGGGCACUUUGUGAGAAAUCAUAAGUAUUUGCAUUCCGGGGGGAGUAUGGUCGCAAGGCUGAAACUUAAAGGAAUUGACGGAAGGGCACCACCAGGAGUGGAACCUGCGGCUUAAUUUGACCCAACACGGGGAAACGUACCAGGUCCGGACACUAUGAGGAUUGACAGAUUAAGAGCUCUUUCUUGAUUUAGUGGGUGGUGGUGCAUGGCCGUUUUUAGUUGGUGGAGUGAUCUGUCUGGUUAAUUCCGUUAACGAACGAGACCUUAACCUAUUAAUUAGUUACGCGAACUCGGGGGCAACUCCGGUCGGUUCGUGGGCGAACUUCUUAGAGGGACUCUCGGCAUCUCUAGCCGAUGGAAGUUUGAGGCAAAAACAGGUCUGUGAUGCCCUUAGAUGCCCUGGGCUGCACGCGCGUUACACUGACAAUCGCAACGAGUGGUCUCCUUGCCCGAUGGGGCCGGGUAAGCUUUGAAAAGAUUGUCGUGAUGGGGAUUGAACCUUGCAAUUAUUGUUCAUGAACGAGGAAUUCCUAGUAAGCGUGGUUCAUCAGACCACGCUGAUUACGUCCCUGCCCUUUGUACACACCGCCCGUCGCUCCUACCGAUUGAAUGGUCCGGUGAGAACUCAGGACGGUCGUAUUGCAGUUGCUCGCAAGAGUAAACGGAUAUGAUCGGAAUUUGUUCAAACCUUACCAUUUAGAGGAAGGAGA
rnacentral:rRNA from 1 species